CCUACGGGGGUCAGCAGUAGGGAAUUUUCGUCAAUGGGCGCAAGCCUGAACGAGCGAUGCCGCGUGAGUGAAGAAGGCCUUCGGGUCGUAAAGCUCUGUUGCGGGGGAAAAAAGGCAGCAUCAGGAAAUGGGUGCUGACUGAUGGUGCCCCGCCAGAAAGUCACGGCUAACUACGUGCCAGCAGCCGCGGUAAUACGUAGGUGGCUAGCGUUAUCCGGAAUGAUUGGGCGUAAAGUGUGCUCAGGCGGUCCUGCAAGUCUGGAGUGAAACGGAUGAGCUCAACUCAUGCAUGGCUUUGGAAACUGGAGGACUGGAGAGCAGGAGAGGGAGGUGGAACUCCAUGUGUAGCGGUAAAAGGCGUAGAUAUAUGGAAGAACACCAGUGGCGAAGGCGGCCGCCUGGCCUGUUGCUGACGCUGAGGCACGAAAGCGUGGGGAGCAAAUAGGAUUAGAUACCCUAGUAGUC
rnacentral:rRNA from 1 species